rnacentral:rRNA from 1 species
UGGGGAAUAUUGCACAAUGGGCGCAAGCCUGAUGCAGCCAUGCCGCGUGUAUGAAGAAGGCCUUCGGGUUGUAAAGUACUUUCAGCGGGGAGGAAGGGAGUAAAGUUAAUACCUUUGCUCAUUGACGUUACCCGCAGAAGAAGCACCGGCUAACUCCGUGCCAGCAGCCGCGGUAAUACGGAGGGUGCAAGCGUUAAUCGGAAUUACUGGGCGUAAAGCGCACGCAGGCGGUUUGUUAAGUCAGAUGUGAAAUCCUCGGGCUCAACCUGGGAACUGCAUCUGAUACUGGCAAGCUUGAGUCUUGUAGAGGGGGGUAGAAUUCCAUGUGUAGCGGUGAAAUGCGUAGAGAUGUGGAGGAAUACCGGUGGCGAAGGCGGCCCCCUGGACGAAGACUGACGCUCAGGUGCGAAAGCGUGGGGAGCAAACAAG